rnacentral:sRNA from 1 species
GAGCGUAGCGAGACAACGACGCGCAGCGGCGGCCCGAAGGGCGAGGAACGAAGUGACGAGUAAUCCUUCCCCCACCACCA